GCGACAUCACAUUCACAAUCAGGACCCAGAGGGGAAAUGUCAUAGUUUGAACAUGACUGACCCAGGGAUGGCACUAUUAGAAGGUGUGGCCUUGGGUUGUGUCACUGUGGGCAUUAAGAUCCUCAUCCUAGCUGCCGGGAAGUCAGCCUUCUCCUAGCAGCCUUCAGAUGAAGAUGUAGAACUCCCGGCUCCUCCUGCACCAUGCCUGCCUGGAUGCUGCCAUGUUCCCGCCUUGAUGAUAAUGGACUGAACCUCUGAACCUGUCCCCAACAACUGGAGAAUGGGGUGGCCCUGACUCUGCUGUCAACCUAUGGAUCCUGUCCUCCUAAGUGGACUUCCUUGUCUGACUUCAGUGGAAGAGGAUGUGCCUAGCCCUGCAGUGACUUGAUGUGCCAGGGUAGGUUGGUACCCAGGGGAGGCCUCCCUCUUCUCAGAGAAAAAGAGGAGACACAAGGGAAGGGCUGCAUGAGGGGGGACUGUGAGGAGGGGGGCUGAGAUUGGGAUGUGAAGCAAAUAAAUAAAUUAAUUAAUUACUGUAAAAAUUAAAUAAUUAAACUAGAUGUAAUGUGUCUAAUGUUUUGCCUUCAUACCUGUGUGUGUACCAUGUACAUGCCUAGUGCCUGCAGAGACCAGAACAAGAUGUCAGGUCCCCUGGAACUGGAGCCGUGCAUGGUUGUAAGCUACAAGGCAGGUGCUGGAAUCGAACCCAAGUCUUCUGACCUCUGCAAGAGCAACAAGUACUUUAAACCAUGGAGCCAUCUCUCCCAUCCCACAGCCAGCGAUUUUAAGGUGUCCAGUCGUGGACUGGGAAUAUAGUUUUACCACUAGAAUGCUUGCCUGGCAUACAGGAAGCUCUGGGUUUCAUCCCCACUACCAUAUAAAACCAAGAGUGGUCGUGCAGGCUAGCAAACCCAGCAGAUGGGAGGUGAGGGAAGAAAGAUUAGAGCUGGAAUUCAAGUUCAUUUUCAGCUACACAGUAAGUCCAGGGCCACCCUGACCUACUUAAGACUCCAUCUCAAAACAAACAAACAAACAAAUAGGCAAGUUCAGGACUAGCCUGAUCUAUUAAUGACUCCACCCCAAGAUAAGUAAAUAUGUAAAUAGUAAAUACACAGUUUGUAGCAAGUUAAGGGCCAGCCUGAUCUACACAAAACUUUACCUCAAAAUAAAUAAAUACACAUUUUUUUAGAUGAUCAAUUAUGACAGAGGCCAUGAACAAUUCAAGAGGCCAUGAACAAUUCAAGAGUCCAAGCAUGCUGGGAAAUCGCCAUCAGGGGAUACUGAUGGCCAUGCGCCCAGCAAGGAAACAAAAAUAAGCUUCCACAGACUGUUGCCAAAGCUGACUUACGCACACAUACAAGAGAACGUGAAUGAACACGUACAUGCCGUGGCCAUGAGAAGCUAGGAUAGUCUUCCAAUGCCUUUCCCUCUUGGGAAUGAGGUAGACAUUCCCUUCCCUUUAUAUAACGAUAAUCAAUACCCUCCUCAGAGCUCCCACACACAACAAAACGGAGGCACAACACAGAUCUUCAGAUGACAGGCUUCAGGUACCUGACCCAUGAAGUGACUAAGUUGUCGAGCUUGGCUGAAGUUCCCCCUCAGCGCAGGUGUCUCUCCUACCAGAUCUGUAUAUUGGAGGACUGGAAACAGUUUCCUCUUGCAAGCGGCCCAGUGAGGAGCAGCUCACAUAAGGCCUAUAGUCGCCUUUUCUCUUAAUCCCUUUUCCUUCCAGAUAGUUCACCCACAUCCUGUCUUUGGUCUCCACCUGAGGUCCUUGGCAUUGUCUACCACAGACAGGAUUCCCAGCUCCAACGCCUACUGAACUCUUAACCCCAGCCCUGUUGGCUCAUGUGAUGCCCAGAUUCAAAUUUCCAGACAAAAUGGAUCACUUUUCACUCUAAUACUACACAGUGGGUGUGGAAGUUCACCUUCUGGACUCACCAAUAAAAAUUAGAAACCAGGGUGAUACAGAAUAACAUAUUCCCGAAACUUAGGUGAGAGAGAUGCCUUUCAUAGUGAAUCUCGUCUGGAAACAUGGGUCACGUUUGUCCCCAUCGUACGUUACUGAAAUGCUUUUGGCAAUGCAAAUACUCGCAUGUGUAGGGGGAUUUUCCUUCAGAGACGAAUAUAACACUCACUGCAGUGGUUCUCGACUUUCCUCGGCUGCUAUCCUUCAAUACAGUUCCUCGGGUUGUGGCGACCCUCCCAACAUAAAAUUAUUUCCAUUGCUAUUUCAUAUCCGUAAUUUUGCCCCAGCUCUGAACUGUAAUGCAAUGUCUGUGUUUUCUAACAAUCUGUGGGGGUUCACCACCCACAUGUUGAGAACCAUUGGGCAUGAAACAUCCAAUGGUACCAGUGACAGACAGACAAAUCAAAGGUAACGGAGGAGGGGGAAUCUGGGGAGUCAAAAGAAACAGACGAUGAUGGGCUUUCAGAAAAGUCUUUAAGGUUGGUAGUUCAUUUGGAACCUGGUGCAUAUAUACAAGAGUCUGGAAAGGCAAAGGCUUCUGGGAAUCCUCCAAGUGGCAAGUCCUCCUUUCUCUCUGCCACUCAGCUCCUGGCACAGCAUCCCUGUCAGGUACUUGAGGACUUGCCUGUUUGGACCUGAAGGUAAAUCGUGUUUUCUUUGGCCUUUGAUUUCCUGUAGCAAUCACAAAUAGGAAUUAAAAUUAACAAACCGUCAA